UCUAGGCUCAGGAUGUCGCUAGCUACAGGCUUACACAUGCACUUGAGGGGCAGCAUAACGAAAGCUUGCUUUUGUUGAUGGCGACCGGCGCACGGGUGAGUAACGCGUAUCCACCUUCCCUAUACUAGAGGAUAGCCCGGCGAAAGUCGGAUUAAUACUCUAUGUUGUAUUUCGAGGACAUCUGAAUAAUACCAAGGUUUACCGGUAUAGGAUGGGGAUGCGUCUGAUUAGGUUGUUGGCGGGGUAACGGCCCACCAAGCCUACGAUCAGUAGGGUUCUGAGAGGAAGUCCCCCACAUUGGAACUGAGACACGGUCCAAACUCCUACGGGAGGCAGCAGUGAGGAAUAUUGGUCAUGGACGAGAGUCUGAACCAGCCAAGUAGCGUGCAGAUGACGGCCCUAUGGGUUGUAACUGCUUUAUACAGGAUAAGUGACGUACGUGUACGUUUUUGUAGUACUGGAUUAUUUUGACUUGUUAAUUCCGUGCAGCAGCCGCGGUAAUACGGAAGGUCCGGGCGUAUCCGAUUUUAUUGGGUUUAAAGGAGCGCAGCUGAUGAUAUACGCUGGACCUGAAUGUACCGCUUCACCGCUGAACUGCGUCCCGAACUGGUUAUCUUGGUGGUUCCAUGUUGGCGGAAUCCUGGUGGGUACCGGUGAAUGCUUAUAUAUUCACGAGAAACUCCGAUUGCAGCAGCAACAGCCUUACUGACCUUAGCUCGAAGGGCGGUAUCGACGAUAAAACUGUAUCGCCGUACAUGAUGCCCUUUCAAUUCUGUGACGCAGAUCGUAAUCCCUGAAUAUCCCGCCGGAAUCAAAGAUAGCGGGGGCGUCAACACGAACGUGGUUUAUCUGAUCCGACUUCGGUUACUGCGCGACACAAUAGCUCCGCCUCAGAUCAGUUUUCACUCUCUGCGGGCCUUGUCAAGACCCCUAUUCUCUUAUGCCUG
rnacentral:rRNA from 1 species